rnacentral:rRNA from 1 species
GACGAACGCUGGCGGCGUGCUUAACACAUGCAAGUCGAACGGAAAGGCCCUGCUUUUGUUGGUUGCUCGAGUGGCGAACGGGUGAGUAACACGUUAGUAACCUUCCCUUGACUUUGGUAUAACUUCAGGAAACUGGGGCUAAUACCGGAUAGCAGCUCCUGCUGCAUGUUGGGGGUUGGAAAUUUUCGGCGGUUUGGGAUGGACUCGCGGCUGAUCAGCUUGUUUGUGGGGUAGUGGCUUACCAAGGCUUUGACGGGUAGCCGGCCUGAGAGGGUGACCGGGCACAGUGGGAAUGAGAUACGGCCCAGACUACUAAGGGAGGCAGGAGUGGGGAAUAAUGCACAAUGGGCGGAAGCCUGAUGCAGCAACGCCGCGUGCGGGAUGACGGACUUCGGGUUGUAAACCGCUUUCGCCGGUGAGGAAGCGUGAGUGAAGGUAAUGGGUAAAGAAGCACCGGCUAACUACGUG